CCUACGGGUGGCAGCAGUGGGGAAUUUUGGGCAAUGGGCGCAAGCCUGACCCAGCAACGCCGCGUGAACGAAGAAGGCUUUCGGGUUGUAAACUUCUUUUCUCAGGGACGAAGCAAGUGACGGUACCUGAGGAAUCAGCCACGGCUUACUACGUGCCAGCAGCCGCGGUAAUACGGAGGUGGCAAGCGUUCUCCGGAUUUACUGGGUGUAAAGGGGGUGUAGGCGGGAAAGCACGUCAGAUGUGAAAACCAUGGGCUCAACCUGUGGCCUGCAUUUGAUACUGGUAUACGUGAGUGCUGGAGAGGUAGAGGGAAUUCCUGGUGUAGCGGUGAAAUGCGUAGAUAUCAGGAGGAACACCGGUGGCGUAGGCGCUUUACUGGGCAGUAAUUGACGCUGAGGAACGAAAGCGAGGGGAGCAAAUGGGAUUAGAUACCCCUGUAGUC
rnacentral:rRNA from 1 species